AAUAGAAAGCAGGGCUGAGGAUACCCUGAAAGGUCAUCAAGAAGAUUUUUGAUAUCCUUGGCCCAAAGAGUCAACUUAAACUAUUGCUCACAGAUAUCUGCUUUACCUGUUCUUGAACAUGGUGGGGACUUCAGAACUUCCUCAGAACCUGUCCAGCUGGUCAGAAUCCUUCUCCAGUUGUGGUGCCCCAAAGCAGAGAGAAGCCUUUUCAAGCCUUGAGAAGAAUAAAAGAGCCACUUGGUGUGCCUUACAAAUAAUCCUCCUUCCUACAAAUUCCAAUACAGUGGUUACAUCUUCAGUAAAGUCUACAUUUCCUUAUCACAAAUGACUCAUAUGAAGCAAAGAAGAUGAACGUGGAAUCAGACAUCCCUGAAGGACUUGUCUGGCCACAAGAGUGAUAGGCACCUGCACAAAACUUCAUCUGAAGUCAGGCUCCUGCCAGAAGGGCUCCAGGAAAGGGAUGGCAUCGUGAAGUAGCAGAGAAACAAUCUGCAAAGGAAGGUUUUGACACACAGCGUAUCCAAGAGCAGGUAGUGGCGAUGUGCAACCACAACUGGU